rnacentral:lncRNA from 1 species
UUACGACAAUUCAAGAGGCCAAAGACCUUAAAACAUUCCCUCUUGAAGAACUUAUUGGGUCUCUAAUGACCUACGAAAUGACAUGUCAAGCUCAUGACGAGCUUGAGAACCCCCUUCCAAAGAACAGGAAGGAUAUGGCACUCACAUCACAAGAAGACCACUUGAAAGGAACAUCAAGUAAUGAGGACAGUGACAAUGACAUUGCACUUUUGACUCAAAAAUUUAAAAAAU